UACGAAGGGGGGCUAGCGUUGCUCGGAAUCACUGGGCGUAAAAGGGCGCGUAGGCGGACUUUUUAAGUCAGGGGGUGAAAAUCCUGAGGCUCAACCUCAGAACUGCCUUUGAUACUGAGGGUCUCGAGACCGGUAGAGGUAAGUGGAACUGCGAGUGUAGAGGUGAAAUUCGUAGAUAUUCGCAAGAACACCAGUGGCGAAGGCGGCUUACUGGACCGGUUCUGACGCUGAGGCGCGAAAGCGUGGGGGAGCAA
rnacentral:rRNA from 1 species